UGCAGCACGCCGCGUGAGGGACGACGGCCUACGGGUUGUAAACCUCUUUUAGCAGGGAAGAAGCGAAAGUGACGGUACCUGCAGAAAAAGCACCGGCUAACUACGUGCCAGCAGCCGCGGUAAUACGUAGGGUGCAAGCGUUAUCCGGAAUUAUUGGGCGUAAAGAGCUCGUAGGCGGUUUGUCGCGUCUGCUGUGAAAUCUGGGGGCUCAACCCCCAGCCUGCAGUGGGUACGGGCAGACUAGAGUGCGGUAGGGGAGAUUGGAAUUCCUGGUGUAGCGGUGGAAUGCGCAGAUAUCAGGAGGAACACCGAUGGCGAAGGCAGACCUCUGGGCCGUAACUGACGCUGAGGAGCGAAAGGGUGGGGAGCAAACAGGCUUAGAUACCCUGGUAGUCCACCCCGUAAACGUUGGGAACUAGUUGUGGGGUCCAUUCCACGGAUUCCGUGACGCAGCUAACGCAUUAAGUUCCCCGCCUGGGGAGUACGGCCGCAAGGCUAAAACUCAAAGGAAUUGACGGGGACCCGCACAAGCGGCGGAGCACGCGGAUUAAUUCGAUGCAACGCGAAGAACCUUACCAAGGCUUGACAUAUACGAGAACGCUGCAGAAAUGUAGAACUCUUUGGA
rnacentral:rRNA from 1 species